GCGGAUGUGGCGAAAUUGGUAGACGCACCAGAUUUAGGUUCUGGCGCCGCGAGGCGUGGGGGUUCAAGUCCCUCCAUCCGCACCA
rnacentral:tRNA from 10 species